rnacentral:rRNA from 1 species
AUGUUUCCUGACCGGCGAGCUUGGGAUCAUCGGAAGGGAGCAGCUCCCUGCAGGCCGCCUCCCACCUGCUUCUGCUCAGCUCCGCCUUCCGGGAUGAGAACAUGUAAGCCAUCAAUCAGGCGCAGGGAAGCCCAAGAGAAAACCCUAAGAGGAAGAGGACAGGAACGGUCCGAUGAAUCACACCUGGUGGAGGCGGGCGUCCCAGAACUCGUGCUGGAUCCUGUUGCGCGCCUCCAGCCGCGCGCGGCCGGCGGCGAGCGCCUCGACCCGGUCGUAGAUGCGCUGCCACUCGGCCCGCCCGCCGUCCCCCGCGUCGUCGCCGCCGCCGCCGCUGCUCAUCGAUUCGGACGGCGUGGGUGCUGA